CAGCAGUAGGGAAUUCUUCCGCAAUGGACGAAAGUCUGACGGAGGCAACGCCGCGUGAGUGAUGAAGCUUUCGGAUCGUAAAGCUCUGUUGUUAGGGAAGAACAAGUGCUAGAGUAAAUGCUUGCACCUUGACGGUACCUAACCAGAAAGCCACGGCUAACUACGUGCCAGCAGCCGCGGUAAUACGUAGGUGGCAAGCGUUGUCCGGAAUUAUUGGGCGUAAAGGGCUCGCAGGCGGUUUCUUAAGUCUGAUGUGAAAGCCCCCGGCUCAACCGGGGAGGGUCAUUGGAAACUGGGAAACUUGAGUGCAGAAGAGGAGAGUGGAAUUCCACGUGUAGCGGUGAAAUGCGUAGAGAUGUGGAGGAACACCAGUGGCGAAGGCGACUCUCUGGUCUGUAACUGACGCUGAGGAGCGAAAGCGUGGGGAGCGAACAGGAUUAGAUACCCUGGUAGUCCACGCCGUAAACGAUGAGUGCUAAGUGUUAGGGGGUUUCCGCCCCUUAGUGCUGCAGCUAACGCAUUAAGCACUCCGCCUGGGGAGUACGGUCGCAAGACUGAAACUCAAAGGAAUUGACGGGGGCCCGCACAAGCGGUGGAGCAUGUGGUUUAAUUCGAAGCAACGCGAAGAACCUUACCAGGUCUUGACAUCCUCUGACAACCCUAGAGAUAGGGCUUUCCCUUCGGGGACAGAGUGACAGGUGGUGCAUGGUUGUCGUCAGCUCGUGUCGUGAGAUGUUGGGUUAAGUCCCGCAACGAGCGCAACCCUUGAUCUUAGUUGCCAGCAUUCAGUUGGGCACUCUAAGGUGACUGCCGGUGACAAACCGGAGGAAGGUGGGGAUGACGUCAAAUCAUCAUGCCCCUUAUGACCUGGGCUACACACGUGCUACAAUGGACAGAACAAAGGGCUGCGAGACCGCAAGGUUUAGCCAAUCCCACAAAUCUGUUCUCAGUUCGGAUCGCAGUCUGCAACUCGCCUGCGUGAAGCUGGAAUCGCUAGUAAUCGCGGAUCAGCAUGCCGCGGUGAAUACGUUCCCGGGCCUUGUACACACCGCCCGUCACACCACGAAAGAGGCAACACCGGAAGUCGCCGGGGUCACCAAGUGGAAACAAGGUAACCAUAGAGUUCCG
rnacentral:rRNA from 1 species